GCCUUAUAACUAGUCCUAAUCUAAUUAGAAAACUAAAAUAAAAAAAACUCCUAAUUAUUUUAAUAUGGAAAUUCGGUCAAAAGUCAUUUUAUCUAGGACUCUUGGACUGAAUAUUGACAUAAAAAUUUAAACUAAGUAAAUAAAUAAAUAAAUAAAUAAAAAUAAAAAUAAAACUUUACAACUUGGGCCACUUUGACAAUUUGGCCUGAUUUUCAACUAAGUAUGGAUGGAUUUCUUGAUUGGGCUGGGAAUUUGCUUAUUGGGCCUCGCCUUCAAGAAUUUGGGCUUUUGUGACUCGUAUCAUUCCCCCUUCCUCAAAAAGAUUCGUCCUCGAAUCUAAAAAAUCAAAUGAACUCGACUUUCCUCUAUCGAACGGGACUAAUGGCAAUUGAGUCCACUGAAAAGAAUAGCCAUGAGAUAGUAAAUAGCAACGGAAACAAGCUUGUAGUCCAAUCAUAAGCAUAACAGAACAAGUAUAACGCAUGUGAAUGGACAGAUUCAGAUUACCAUGCAAACAAUUACAUUGAAAAUUUCAGAUUUGAUUUGAGUGAAAAUUCUCUUUGAGUUCUUCAAGGAUUUUCUCUUGAGUUUUCUUUAGAAGUUGUUUUAACAAUCUUUUUGAUUGUGGGAGCCAUCUUCAACCUUCUUCUUGCAAUUGAUAUUCUUUGGAGGGGAGAUUAGAGCCGUUUGAAGGGAGUUGUGAGAUCUUUCGGGAUUUCAAGGCUUCUUAGGACUUAUCUUUUAAUUUCUUACUGUCAAUUCUUUCUUUAUUUCUGCUUGUGCCGAAUCUUUAUCUAAUUUAUUUUCUGUUCUUAUUGUGUUUUCAGCCUUUUUCUAUCUUAAGGAAUUAGCCCAAAAAUCCCCAAUUUCUAGGGUUCUAGCCGAUUCAUCCAUACUCUUUUUUGGGAGAAAUUAGAUUGCUGAAAUUUGGGGAAAACUAUCUGGGUGUUCAAUUGGGCAGAAUCGCAAUCUCUUCUAGGGUUUCAAGAUUCCUUAUUAACACUUAUUUCUAUUCUCUAUUUGAUUCUUUACUGUUUUGGGGAUUUUAUUUCAGAUCUGAAAAUUCAAAAAUUCUAAUCUUUUAAUUUUCUAUUUCGUUUCAGAUCUAAUUGUUUAGGGUUUUCGUAGGAGUUUCUCGUGACUUGGCAACUCGAUCUUGGUCUGCGCGCAACCCCGUAUCAAGUACCCAUCAUGUCGAUAGUACUUCUCGUAGGCACAUAAUCUAAAGAAUUCACCAAAGUCAGCAUCGUUGACAUAUAAAUCUUUAAGAAAUACAAACCCCAUUAACUUAGCAUCCAAAAUAUUUAGCAAUGCAUACCUUCGAGAUAGUGCAUCAGCCACUACGUUUUCCUUACCUUUCUUAUAUUUAAUAACGUAGGGAAAAUAUUCGAGAAAUUCUACCCACUUAGCGUGUCGCUUAUUCAACUUGUGUUGCCCCUUUAAAUACUUCAAGGACUCAUGAUCGGUGUGUAUGACGAAUUCCUUGGGCCAAAGAUAGUGUUGCCACGUUUCUAAGGCUCGGAUCAACGAAUAGAGCUCCUUGUCAUAUGUUGGAUAGUUUAAGACAGCACCAUUUAGUUUCUCGCUAAAAUAGGCAAUAGGACGACCAUCUUGCAUCAACACAGCUCCAAUGCCUAAACCUGAUGUAUCACAUUCUAACUCGAAAGUUUUAUCAAAGUUAGGCAAAGCUAAUAACGGUGCAUGAGUUAGACAAUCUUUAAUUUUCAAAAAGGAUUUUUCUUGUUCCUCUCCCCAAAUGAAGUUGGAAUUCUUACGAAUAACCCCGGUUAAAGGUGCGGCUAAGGUGCUGAAAUUUGGCACGAAUCGACGGUAAAAACUUGCUAGUCCAUGGAAACUUCGGACUUGGGAGACAUUCGUCAGACGGGGCCAUUCUUGGAUCGCCUUGAUCUUCUCUUGAUCGACUUCAAGACCCUCUGAGCUAACAACAAAACCUAAAAACACAACCUUGUUAGUGCAGAAAUCACAUUUCUUCAAAUUAGCAUACAAGGUUUCUUUUCUCAAUACUUCCAAAAUAGAUUUUAAAUGUAAAAUAUGUUCAUCCAAAUUUUUACUAUAGAUCAAUAUAUCGUCGAAGUAUACUACGCAAAAUCUACCAAUAAAAGGUCUUAAAACGUGAUUCAUAAGCCUCAUGAAUGUGCUUGGGGCAUUCGUUAAGCCAAAUGGCAUAACGAGCCAUUCGUAAAGCCCAUGCUUCGUUUUGAACGCAGUCUUCCACUCAUCUCCCUCACGCAUCCGUAUUUGGUGAUAAUCGCUCUUAAGGUCAAUUUUUGAAAAUAAACUCGCGCCACUUAGCUCGUCAAGCAUAUCAUCCAAUCGUGGUAUAGGAUGACGAUACUUGAUAGUUAUUUUGUUUAUAGCACGGCAGUCCACGCACAUCCUCCACGUUCCAUCCUUCUUCGGAACUAGUAAAAUAGGCACGGCGCAUGGACUAAGGCUUUCACGCACAUAGCCCUUUUCAAGGAGUUCAUUUACUUGCUUUUGUAAUUCUUUCGUCUCUUCAGGAUUGCUCCGGUAAGCAGGUCAGUUUGGAAUUGCGGCUCCCGGCACAAGAUCGAUUUGGUGUUCAAUUCCACGAAUAGGUGGUAACCCACUUGGGAUUUCUUCCGGGAAUACGUCUUGAAAUUCCUGCAACACAGACAAAAUAGAAGAAGGCAAUUUGUCAUCAAAUUCGUUAGUGCCAAGCAAGCUCUCCUUGUACAAAAGAACCAACAAUGGUUGUUUCAAUAGCAUCGAUUUUCGAACUUCCCUCUCUUUUACAAACAAAUUCUUUUUUUCAAUCUCAUCACUCAUUUCUUUUGAAUCACUCUCUCUUUUUUUAUCACUCAUCUUUUUGUUUUUCUUCUUUUCUUCACUCUUUUCUUUAUUCUUUUCAUUUUUUUGCUCUCUCUCGAUUUCUUUUGAUUUUUCAAUCGAACUCCUCAUUUUGAGUUGAUCUUCGUACACUUGUUUCGGUGAUAACGGAGCUAGAGUCACCAUUCUUCCCAUAUGUUUGAAAGAGAAUCGAUUUGUGUAACCAUCAUGAAUUGCUUGCUUGUCGAAUUGCCACGGACGUCCCAAAAGAAGAUGCCCCGCAUGCAUCGGUACAACGUCGCACAUCACUUCAUCUUGAUAUUUUCCGAUUGUGAAUGAAAUGAGCACUUGUUUUGUUACCUUUAAUUCUCCACCAUCGUUAAGCCAUUGGAGUUUAUACGGAUGGGGAUGUUUGGUGGUGGCCAAUUCGAGUUUCUCCACCAUCAAUGUGCUAGCCACAUUUGUACAACUUCUGAUACGACCAUGCCCCGGGCACACUUUUGGAUCAGCUCCCUAAGCAUUGUUUGCAAAUCCAUGCGAGCUGAAUUAGUUCAAUUUCAUUUCGUUAAGCUCCGUUUAGCUCGUUUCCUGCUCACUCGAGCUCAAGUCAACUCACUCAAGCUCAAUUCAGCUCAAUCUUAACCCAAUGAGCUUAUUUUUAGCUUUCUUUAGCUUGCAUUUAUUUUGCUGAAAUAAACCAUUUAAUUUGUCAUUAGUUAAAUUAGUUGUUUAUCUUAAGUUAGUUAAUUUGUUAAAAUCUGGACAAAUAAUUAAUUAAGUGUUUUAAUUAUAUCUAAAUUAAAUACUUAAUUAAUUAUGAUGUUUUAAAUAUGUCUAAAAUUGUUAAUAUGUAUGGCCAAAUUUAAUGUGCAAAUUAUUGAGUUCAUAUGCUGCUAAUUUAAUGUGUUUAAAAUGCAUUUAACUUGCUGAUUUAAUUUGCUGCAGGUUCAUGAACGGAUUGGUGCAAUGUAUGGGAGUGUGCAUGCACAAUUGAGGUUCAAUGGAUGGCAUUUAAAGGAGCACAUGCAUUUGGGACGUUCAUGCAAGAGGGAGUUGCUGAAAGUUCAUGUAUUUGAAGAUUCAUGGAUCAUAUUUAUGGGGGAAAAUACAUGGGACGUUUCAUGCAUGAUUCAUGCAUUUUCAAGAUGACCAUUCAAGUAUUUUAGGCACAUUAAUGCCUCAUUCAGCCAAGGGAGAUGUAGGAUCAUUAAAGAGCUGCACAUUCAUGGAAUUAUGGAGAUUCUUCAAGGCUAAGGAUGCAUGAAUGCAUCAAGUGAAGCAUCAUGAUGGUUCGGCCAAUUCAUGUACCAUCUUCAAGCAUGAACUGGAUUUUAAUGCUAUUUGUGUGAACAUGUUAAAUACCUGUGUGAACAGAAUUUAAGUUAGUGUGAACAACAUAGAUGCCGAAUAUCAAUAGGCAUUUUAGGCUUAUAAAUAGCUUACUUGUUUAUUGUAAAAGGUUACAGAAUUUGAUCAAUUAAACUUAAUAGAACUUUUGUUCUUGUGAGGUUACCUCCUCUCUUCUUUCAUUCGAGUCUCGAAGCGACUUAUCUAGCUUGCUAGUGGUGUCAAUCCGAACUCCAUUAAACUUAUCACCGAAUCGGUGUGGCGUUCAACCAUCUUCCUAUACCUUUGGUUCUUACCUCCAUAUAGGUAACGGGUCAAGGUCCCCUUCUAUCCUUCAUCAAAAUUCACCUUAAGCAAUAUAAGACUCGGGCAAUACUUUUUAGUAUUGAAUCAUUCUUAAAGUUUGAGUUCUUUAUCCAUUUCCAUUUAUUUAUCAUCUUUGUAACUUAAUUCUUUGUUAAACCGAACCUAUCUUUCAUCAAACCAAAACCCAUCCUUUGAACCCAUUUUGCCUACCUUCCGCUUAUAAAACAUUCAAACUCUAUCUAUCUACAAAUUUGAACGAGCUUCUCGUUGACGAUCGGGCAUCUUAAGUGAACCCGACUCAAUUAAUCAGGCCGGAUCACAUCACAUGUUAAAUACCUGUGUGAACAGAAUUUAAGUUAGUGUGAACAACAUAGAUGCCGAAUAUUAAUAGGCAUUUUAGGCUUAUAAAUAGCUUACUUGUUUAUUGUAAAAGGUUACAGAAUUUGAUUAUUGAAAACUUGAUUGUGAGGUUUCCUCCUAUCCUAUUUCGUACGAGUCUCGUUCUGACUUAUCUAGCUCGCUAGUGGCGUCAACCCGACUUCUUGAACUUAUCACCAUCCUGGUGUGGCGUUCAUCCACCUUUUUAUACCUUUGGUUCCUACCUUUCUAUAGGUAACGGGUCAAGGUCCAUCUUCGACAAUCUAUUAAACCCACCUUAAGCAAUAUAAGUCCCGGGGCAAUACUUCAUAUAGUAUUAAAUCGUUCUUCGCUUGAGUUCUAUUUUUCCAUUCCAUUUUAACUAUUAAAUUAUAAACAAUAUUUCUUUAUUUCACUGAGCCUAUCAAACAUCUACCCAAACCAUCUUUUGAACCCAUUUUCUCAACUUUCGCUAUAAAAAAUCAUCUAACUCCAUCUAUCUACAAAAUCGAACAAACUUCUCGUCGACGAUCGGGCAAUCAAGUGAAUCGACUCAAUCAACCGAGCCAGAUCACAUCAUUUGGUAUCAGAGCUUGCAAAAUGAGGAGCACCGACGUUCGUAGCUAUCUCAAAAGAUAGGUUUGUAAAAAAAAGUUUCAAAAAAAUCAAAAAAAUCUUGAGUUGUAAUUUUAUUUUAUUUUCUCUUUUCUUUAUUGUAUUUACCUUACUAUUGUAUUGGAGUAUCACAAAAAAAAUUGAAAUUCAAAAAAAAAAAGAAGUGAGCAAAAAAAGAAAAAAAGUAAAGAAAAGAACAAAAAAAAGUGAAAAGUCUUGCGAGUUUUAUUUUCAUCUCUUAUUACUCCGAUCAUCAAGUUUCCCUACACCCAUCCCAACGCCACACUUUAAACCAAUUUUUUUCUUUAUUUAGCCUACCCUACACCCGACGUUAUCCCUUGUAACCCAUUUUGAAACCGACCCUCAAGCAGCAAAUUAAGUCUAUCGAGACGAAUUACGAAUUUGUGAGACGAGGUUGAGUGGUAAAAGGCAAGAGAGCGUGAGUACAUUAGAGUGAGCAAAAGCCUAAAAGAGAGUUCAAACUCGAGAGUGAGUGAAUUUUUCUUUUUGAGCGAAUUUGUGAGGUUUGUGGUAAGGUAUUUAUUUUCUUUAUUUUUUUUUGAACAUUUUCUUUUCCAUUACUUAAUCAUGUCUCGAGAAACAUUUUCCGAAUCAGAAUUCCAAUAUUUGAUGCAAGAGAUAAGUUGCAUGGUGAAAUUAAAAUUUGAUAAGUUGCAUGAUCGAUUGGAUCGAGUGGAGGAAAGAGCCCGAUGGAAGCCAAACUCACCAGGUCAAGAGACGAAGAUAAGAUCAUCACGAAAGCACACAUCCAAUGAUUAUUCGAGAAGAGAUUCAUACCAUGAUUCCUAUUCAAUGAGGAACUCAAGACGAAGCAAAGCAAGUUUUGAGUUUGAAGCUUUUCAAGGUGACGAACGAGAAAUCACAAGUAGUCAUUCGUAUGCACCAAGGUAUUCAUCUGCCAAGAAUCAAUCUCGAAGAGGUGAUCAUUUUUUGUAUGAAAGUCGAUCCAAUUAUACCCAACAAGAGUCAUUUAGUGCUGAUUCAUUUGUAACAUCUCCAUCCUAUAAUGAAGGAGCGAGGCAAAAAGAAAAAGAAAUAAGAAGAAAAGAAAGACAAGAAAUGUUGAUGAGAGAAAAUGAGCAUAUAUGGAAUGAAAUCGAGAGACGAAAAAAAGAAAUGAAAGAAAAGGAACAAGAAAUCAAAAAAGUGAGAGAAAAACAAAAUGAAGAGAAAGAAUUCGAAAAAGAAAUUGAGAUUGAACAAGAGUGCAAGCGAGAAAGAGAAAUCGAAAGAAAAGAAGAAAAGAUUGAAAAAGAAAAAGAAAUCCAAAAAGGGAGUGAGGUCAAAAAUAAAAUUGAAAAUGAGAGAGGAAAUGAAAAGAGAAAAAAAGAAGUUGAGAUUAGAAAAGAGUUUGAAAAAGAGAAGAGUGAAAAGGGAGAAAGCAAUCGAGCAAAAGUGAGGAAUGUUCUAACUAACCCAUUUGCAAGUUUGCCGUGUAAAUUUUCUUCUUUCCAGGUUUCCAAGGAACCGAUUGACAAGUUUCGACUUCAAUACCUUUCCAUGGAUAGAAGGUUCACUUUGGCUGAAAAAGGUAGUGUUCUCAACGAUCCUAGUUCGCCUAUGCCAAAAGGUAAGCAAGGUAUGAGUCUUGAAAUUUUUAAAGCACCUCUGCCUUUUUCGAUUGUUGAUAGGUCCUUUGUUGAUGAUUUGGUCUUUUGAAAGAAUCUAAACUUUGACGUGGCUACUUGUCAUUCUUUGAUUGAUGAUGACCCAUUUGUUUUGUCUGAUGAUAAAAAGAUUCUUGCUUUUGAAAAAUAUUAUUUUCUUGAUGAUAUUAGUUGUUUGUCAUUAACUUGCAAUGGAAUACAUGUUUUGGAUCCGCAAGAUGAAAGUCCAUAUAAAAUGUUCAUUCUCACUGAUCAUGUUGAAAAGCCUACCACGAAGAUUAGGCACCCAUUCCUCCAGGUUCCCUUGGGACCCCAGGUGAAAUUAUAUCAGAUAUUACAGGCCAGACCCCUAAGUGUGGGCCGCUGCAUUGACUAGGCCGCAUUCGAGCAGAUUCAAUUGGCUGAUGCGGUACGAGCCCUCUUAAAGACUGACCCGUGGGGGCUUUUCUUCGAGAUCAUCGAGCUAACGUAUCUCGAGUUUACAUUAGAACUCUGCUCGACGUUCCAUCUUCAGACCGUCAUAACCAACUUCAACGAUCCUGGAACGGUCCAGUUCUGCCUCGGUGGUCUAGUACGCCAGUUGAGCGUACCCGAGUUUGAGAUUGCACUAGGGCUGUACACAGAGGAGUUCAUGGACGACAAUGACCUCGACACCCUCCACCGCCACAUCCACUACUCCUCCUCGAAAUGUUGGAGGGACCUCGUCCCUGCCUCGACCACCUACUAUCCUAGCCACUCCAAGGCAUCGGCUCUCCCUCCUUCCUUGAGGUAUCUACACACAAUCUUGGCUCACACUCUGAUAGGGAGACGAGAGAGCACCGGCGUCGUCACCACCCAUGACACUUAUUUAUUAUGGGGUAUGGCAAAUGGGCAUGUCAUUGACCUCGCCUACUUUAUUGCCUUUGCCAGUCGCCACUAGACGGAGCGACACAGAAGAUGAUGUGAUCCGGCCCGGGUAGAUGAGUCAAAUGCACGUAGUUGCCCGAUCAUAGUUCGAGAGAGUCAUUCGUGUCUCGGAUUUUAGUAAUAAAAGUAAAAUAAUGGAUUAGAAUAAGCGGAAGGUUUCAAGAAGGGUAAGUUUAGUAAUAGGUUCGGUUAUGUGUAGCAAAGAUGGGUGAUGGAUAAAUGGGUCGGUUUGGUAUAACAAGAAAAUAAUUUGAAGGAUGGGAAUGGAAAACAAACUCAACGUCAGGAAUGAUUCAACACUAAGAAGUGUCACCCCGGUUCCUAUAUUGUUAAGGUGAAAGUAUGGAUAGAUGGAUAGGUGAACGCCACACCAAGAUUGGUGAUAAGUUCAAACAAGACGAUUGACGCCACUAGCACAAGCCAGAUAAGUCUUUCGAAACUUGUACGAGAUAUGAGAGGAAGCAACCUCACAAGAACAAAUGUUUAUUAACAAUUUUGGCAAAAGUCCCUUACAAUUGAAAGAAAACAAAUACUUAUAGGCACAUAGAUGACCAUUCAAAUUUGGCAUCUAGGUGUUCACACAAUAAUAAAAACGUUCACACUAAUGUAUUAAAAUAGUUCAUAAAUUCGGCAGAUUCAUGAACUAGUUGAAUGGACACUUUCUUCCCCCUAAGUGUGUGCAUGAAUGCUUAAUCAUAAAGAAAGGCUUCAAGUGACUUGUAUGUGCACCGAAGGUUGUAUUCAUCUCCUUGGGACGUUCAUGCACUUGUAUGGAACAUGUAUCCUCAUAAUUAAACUCUUUAAUAUCAUGUAGGUUCAUAAAUGACAGCAUGAACCUAGUAAAUUCGUUCUCCCCUUUGUGCAUACACUUAAUUCAAUCAAUGUGUUGAAUUAUUGAGUUAAUUCCUUCCUUUGGACGUUCUUGAACCCAUCCAUGCAUGUGUUACUGCUUAUAGGUCAAUUCAAAGUGUGAACAGCUACUUCUUGGCUGAAUAAGUGCCUUGGAAAGUUAGGAGACUGCCACCAUACAUGCACUUAAGCCAUUCAUGCAUUCUAUCAUCCCAUGCAUUUGAUCCAUUCAUGGACCACCAGCCUUUAAUGUCCAUACAUGCAUUCGACACAUGCAUGAAUUUGUAGAAACCUUGCAUCUAGCCGUACAUGCACCAGCAUUUAAUACUUCUUCAUUCAUGAGUGUGGAAUGUCCAAAAGAGAUGUUUCUUCAUCCAUACAUUGUACCGUCCAAAGGGAUGUACCUACAUGAGAUAAAAAAGUCAUUAAGAUAUCUCAUGGACACUCAUAAAUUCGGCAUGAUGUGAACACAUUAAUGUCAUGCAUUAAUUCAGCUAUGUGAACAUAAUCAAUUUAUGUAAUGACUAUGGCAUAUUAAUAACAAAUAUUAAUAUAAGACAAGUUUAAUGCUUAAAUAAAUAUGUGCAAAUUUUUAUUUAAUGCAUUAAAGACAAAACCGAGUUUAAACUAAAAUGAGCUAAGCUUUAGCUCGUGAGCUAAAGUUGAGCUGAGGCUAAACUCCUAAGCUGAAGUUGAGCUAAGGUUUAGCUCGUGAGCUGAAUAUGAGCUAGGAGUGAGCUCAGUUUAGCUCAGGCAAGUUGGAUCGAGCUUGAAUAAGCUGGAUUUGAGCUGGACGGAGCUCGUGGAGCUGGAAACGAGCUGGGAUCAGCUUGCCAACAUGUCAAUGCUUGGCUUGACAGACUUGUUCAAUGAAGUUCGCGGGGCGUGCUCGUAUCAGAAGAGGGGUCAUCUCUAUCGGGCCCUAUGUGACUCGAUUGGCUCGGCACUUUGGGCCCCUCAACACGGUAGCGCAAUCAUUCGCCCUCACUCUCAUUGGCCAGAUGUCGACACAGGGAUCUCGAGCAUGCUAAGUAUGAGGAUGAUCGAGAAAUGACGUGGCACAUACCCUCCUCAGUACCGCCUCACCCAGUCCAUCGAAGAGGAGGACCCAAAGGACAUUACUAAUGAUGUCCCUCCACGUCACGAGGAUCCACCAACUCAGCCACCACCCCCUCUCGUCCAGUUCAUGCGGCGGCUUCAUACUCUGACAUCUCUGAGCGCCCUACUCGAUUCGAGCAACAGUGUUUUCAGCGCUUCGAUAACAUUGAUGCUACUCUACAGCAGAUUUGUCAGCACUUUCACAUCUCAUCACCACGCCCACCUCACGAACCAUCUAGCGAUAAAGAUGUCUAAAAAUUUUUAUUUAUUAUUUUAUGUUUUAACUUUUAUUCUAUUUUAAGACUAUUUUUUAUUUUUCUUUAAGCUUAUUUUUAUUAGGUUUUAUUAUUAUUAUUUUACAAUUUUUAAUUUCAGCCAUUUCUUUACGAGUAAUUAUGCUUCUUUAUAUUCCCUAAAAAGUUCCUGAUUCUAUCACAGUUAUAAAGAGCUCCAAAGCUCAUCAUCGCAGAAGAACUAAAAACUCCACCGAGAAAGGUUCUCCACGACUGCCAUGUCCUGUUCGACCAUGACCAUAGCUACCACUAGAUAUGAUAUUCUUUUGGUGCAGGAUUUAUGGAUUAAUGAACCUUGAUCAUCACCGAAGUAUCCUCCUCCACUCUCAUCAUUGCUUUGGCCUAUUACUUUCUAUCACUCCAAUUCAAGGAGUUCAUUCAUCAUUCAGGAAGUUUCACUUCUCUCCCUAUCUUAUGAUUAUAAAUCUAUCUUUUUCAAUAUAUCUACCUUUGUACAUUGAGGGCAAUGUACAUCUUAAGUGUGGGGGGUCUUUUAUAUCAUCAUUAGAAAUCCUUGAAUUCUUUCUUCUUCUCACAUGAAUCACUCAUAUCACUAUUAGAAUGAAUUUUAAUUAACUUAUGAUUUUUAUUGAUAUGUCUUGAAUUAAACAUAGGCAUUUAUGCGUUGAUUGUUUAAACUUUAAGAUAUUAGGGAAUCAAGCAUGAUAAGUUAAUUUUUGAAGACUUAAAAACUUUUAGUUUGUUUCCCUAAGUUUAGGUAUUAUCUUGAGUUGGAAUUCACAAGUUUAAACAUCAAAAAGCCAUAAUUUUUGUGAGAUCUUGAGCCUUUAGAGCAUCUAUUAUUUCUUUUAUGCUCACUUUCAUUAUGAAUCAACAAAAAUUCCUAUCGAAUCGACCUACCGGGUGGGUAUAAUAUAAGUACGAGCUUUAAUAUGUCUGAUUUAUCUCUUUUUGAAGUAGGUCCUAAUUUAAGGACAAAUCGCUUUGAGGAGGGGGAUGAUACGGCCAUGCCCCGAGUCAUACCUAGCUAGAGAAGGAGCCUUUGGAGCUACCUUAAGGUCCUAUUACCUGAGCACGAGCCAAGCACUUCAAAGAGGCUAUUUCAGCCUUAGUAGAUCAAGUGUAUGGCGAGACUUUGGCUGGACACAUCGAGAGAGCUUGGACCAGCCCUACGAGUGCACCUUGCAAUCUUUUUCGAGCCGAACUAAGCUCAAACUUAGCUCCAUGAGCUCAAUUCCAGCUCAGUUUAUUUUAUACAUUUCUUUAGUUGUUGGAAUAAAUUAAAUAUUUUUAGUUAAUUUAGUUAGUUCAGCUCAACUAGUUAAGUUGUAUUUUAAUGUGUCUAAAAUCUGGACAUUUUAAUUAUGUUUUAAAUGUGUCUUAGUUUAAUACACAUUUAUUAGCUAUUUUAUUAUGUCUAAGUUUAGGACGAAUUUAUUUCAUUUUACAAUUCAAUUUGUCCAACCGAAUUUUAUGAUUACUUUUAAUAUGUCCCAGCUACUGCUGAAUUUAAUAUGUCUUAAGACUUAAGACUAACUAAUUGCUUAAUUAAAUUGAUGCAGCUACAUACAUUGGACGACAUUAAUAUGGUGUGCUGAUGGUUCAACUCUUCCAAGCACCUCUUUGUGUAUGCCAAGGGCCAAAAGUGUGCCUCAAAAUCCCUACUGUGCCUCAUCUGGCACCCCUGAAUCCUCAAAAUCCUGUACCUUUGGUGGUUACUUGAGUAUCUGUAGAUAAAAUCCAAAAGUGUGGAGCGGAGAAAUUCAGAGGCAAAGUUGAUGAUGAUCCUACAAAAGUUGAGUAUUGGUUAAUGAACAUAAAGAGAGUCUUCAUGGAGUUGAUAUGCAAUCUUGAAGAUUGUUUGAUUGUGUAGCCUCGUUACUAAAAGAUGAAGCGUACUUAUGAUGGGACACAUUGAGCACGAUGGCAUCGCCUGAUUGUGUUAGCUGGGAUUUCUUUUAGACUGAAUUUAAGAAAAAGUAUGUUAGUGAUACGAUCUUGUCUCGUGAGUUGAUUUCGAGUUGUAGUGUUGCCCGAUCGUAAAAUAGAUAAGUUUUGUUCAAUUUGGAGUUGAGUGAAUUUGGCUAAGUGUAGGCUAAAGCAAAGAUGGUUUUUAAGUGUUUUGGAAUAGUCUAAGUGAAUGUUUCAGUUAAACAAAGAAAAAUAAGAUAACUUUGAAAAGAAUAAUUCGGAUGGAUGGAAAAAGGCUUAAGGUCCAUGAAAGAACCAAUAAUAUAAGGAGUAUUGACCGGAAUCUUAUAUUGACUUUUAAGGUGGAAAGUGAUGUGAGCACACCCGGGGCAUCCUCGAAUGCACACCAAGGAUCUAUUGAGCUGCCAAAAGGUCCCAUGACCCGAGCUCGAACCAAGCAACUUCAAUAUGCUAUAUCAGCCUUUGUGAUGCGCAUUUGGGAAGAUAACCAGCUCUAUAACGUUGGAGGAGCUAAGAAUAACUCCUUGAAGACUCCAUGCACCAUUUUGCAAUCCGACCUCAGCUCCUCUUCAGCUCCCCCAUGCGCCAUUCAGUUCCCAUCAGCUCACUUGAGCUCGUUUUAGCUCGUUUGAGCUCAAAUUUAGCUCGUUUCAGUUCAUUCCUUUUUCAUUUCAAUAAAUUAAGUAUUAAUCUAGCUUAUAACUAAGUUUGUUACAGCUCAUGUCGAAUUCCCUAGCUCAAUUUAGCUCACUAAGUGUUUUUGACUAUUUGAGCUAGCUGAAUUUAUUAUAAGUUGACUUUAAUUAUUGUGUUCAAAUUGAGUUAGUGAUAUUAAGUUAUUUAGUUAUUAUUUUAAAUUAUAAUUAUAUGAAUAGUUGUGUGUUAUUUAAUUAUGUUAUUGAAUUAUGUAGGUUAGCCGAAUUUGGAAGAUACAUUCAUGGCAUUUAAUGCAAGGUGCAUGAACGGGAAUGUUCAUUGAACGAGAGGAUACAUGCAUGGACCGGUUCAAUGUUUGGAGGACAUACAUUCAUGUACAUGGAAGGUUAAUGCAUAUUGAAAGGUGCAUCUCCCUUGGAUGGCACACAUGCAUGAAUGGGGGUAAUCAAUGCAAGUGCAUGUACGGCUAGGUUCAAGGCCCCUUCCAAGUUCCAUGUACAACCGAUGCAUGUGGGAGGACCCUUGGAGUUUCCUAAGCACCUAUUCAGCCAAGAGACACUGAUACGAGUCACAAAAGCCCAAAUUCUUGAAGGCGAGGCCCAAUAAGCAAAUUCCCAGCCCAAUCAAGAAAUCCAUCCAUACUUAGUUGAAAAUCAGGCCAAAUUGUCAAAGUGGCCCAAGUUAUAAAGUUUUAUUUUUAUUUUUAUUUAUUUAUUUACUUAGUUUAAAUUUUUAUGUCAAUAUUCAGUCCAAGAGUCCCAGAUAAAAUGACCUUUGACCGAAUUUCCAUAUUAAAAUAAUUAGGAGUUUUUUUUAUUUUAGUUUUCUAAUUAGAUUAGGACUAGUUAUAAGGCCUAUUUAAAGGCAUUGCUGUCCACCUUGUUAAACACUUAUCAUUAUUAUUAAAAUUUUAGAUUUGUUGAGAGCAGAAUUUUUCUUUGAGUUUUCUCCAAGAUUUCUCUCUUGAGUUUUCUUUAGAAGUUGUUUUAACAAUCUUGUGAUUGUGGGAGCCAUCUUCAACCUUCUUCUUGCCAUUGAUAUUCUUUGGAGGGGAGAUUAGAGCCGUUUGAAGGGAGUUGUGAGAUCUUUCGAGAUUUCAAGGCUUCUUAGGACUUAUCUUUUAAUUUCUUACUGUCAAUUCUUUCUUUAUUUCUACUUGUGCUGAAUCAUUAUCUAAUCUAUUUUCUGUUCUUAUUGUGUUUUCAGCCUUUUUCUAUCUUAAGGAAUCAGCCCAAAAAUCCCCAAUUUCUAGGGUUUUUCCAUACUCUUUUUGGGUGAAAUUAGAUUGUCGAAAUUUGGGGAAAACUAUCUUGGUGUUCAAUUGGGCAGAAUCACAAUCUCCUUGAGGGUUUCAAGAACCCUAACACUUAUUUCUAUUCUCAAUUUGAUUCUUUGCUGAUUUGGGGAUUUUAUUUCAGAUCUGGAAAUUCAAAGUUCUAAUCUUUUAAUUUUUCUGUUUCGUUUCGGAUUUGAUUGUUUAGGGUUUUCGUAGGAGUUUCUCGUGACUUGGCAACUCGAUCUUGGUCCACGCGCAACCUCGUAUCAUUUGGUAUCAGAUUUUGGGCGUUUUGGGUGUUCUUGGUUGAUUUCUAAACUGAUCUCUAUUUUUUAAAGCAUAAACAGCAGUUUUACCCAGAAAAAUUGUUCAAAAAAAUUCAUUUGAGUGGGUAAACGUUGUCCGAUUGAUCUGAAAUUUUACAUACAUGUUUUUGGCACUGUGAUUGAAUAUUAAAAAAUUAUUCCCGCAAAAAUAUCAUUCAAAAAAGUCAAAAAAAUCAAAAAAAUACGAAAUUCAAUAAAAAUUUAAAAAAAGAUUCAGCGGAUCGAAUUUGGUGCCCAAAAUUUCCAGAUCAAAAAUUCAAUAUAUAAGGACACUCCAGAUUUAAUUUCGUGAUUUUUGGAGAUCGGGAACACCUCUAACGAAGUUGUCAAGUUACUCCGCAGUUUUUCGGGUUUUCUAUUUUCAGCAAUUUUUAUUGAUUCUUAGCUGUAGGUUUUCAUUUGUUUCCCUUUAUUCUUCCUUUACGUUAUCUAACACCUUCUUGUUUCUUGUGUUAGUAGGAUUUAAACGUGUGCACAACUUCUCCUCGGUGCAACACGAAUCAAUUGGUGUCUCGUCAGUUUUUGGCAUCCUAGUGCAAAUUAGGAUUCUUUGGUAGUUUGGUUCACACUCUCUAAUUGGUUGAUAUAAACUCUGAUAAAGAACUCACAAGAUUGAAUUCGACCUCAUUGAGAAUUUGAUUUUUUCUUUUUGAGUGAUUAACGGUGAGGUUUGAUAACUUUUAUUUUUGAGUGUUGAGUGUUUUGCAGGUUUUAAAAAAAAAUGUCUACAGGUGAUAAUACUAGUGACAUAUUUAAAAAAUUCCAACAACAGUUGGACGAACAGGCUGCUGCACUUCGAGCGUUGACUGCUACUAUCAAUGAGGUGCGGUUGAAUCAAGAGCCUCAAUAUCGAGAUCAAAUUAAAGACGAUGUGGAUAACCAGCCUCCUGCUCAUAGGCGCGCUCCUCGGCGUGUCCCUAGAACUGAUUAUGAUCUUCAUGAUCGUGGACAACCCCCUUUGGCAAAACCAAAGAGCGAGCAGCAAUGAGAACAUCUCUUUCAUACUCGCUGCCAUGUACAAGGUAAGCUUUGUAGAGUUAUUAUUGAUGGUGAAAGUUGCUCGAACGUAGCCAGCACGACGAUGGUGGAAAAGCUUUGCUUAACCACUACCAAGCAUCCACGACCUUAUCAACUACAAGGGCUUAGCAACGAAAGCCAAUUUAAGGUCACUCAACAAGUGCGCAUCGCCUUUUCUAUCGGUAAAUAUCAAGACGAAGUCGUGUGCGACGUAGUACCUAUUCAAGCCUACCAUUUAUUGCUAGGAGAACCAUGGCAACUGGAUCGAAAAGUCACUCACGAUGGUCGUACCAAUAGGUAUUCUUUCAAGCAUCAAGGAAAGAAACUUACCUUAGUGCCGCUCACUCCGGAACAAGUCCAUGAGGACCAAAUCAAACUGAGAAAUUCUGUUAAAACAAGUGAGGAAAAAGAAAAAAAGAAUGAAAAAGAGCAAAAAGAGAUUGAGAGUGAAAAGGAAUGUGAAACAGAAAAGAAAUUUGAAAAAGAAGUUGACGAAAGAAGAGAAAAUGAGUUAGAAAAAGAAACAAAAGAAAAAGACGAGGAAAGGCUAGUGAGGAAUGUUUCCACUAACCAAGAUAUGAUUUUUUCUUGUGUUGCUACUUUUCAGGUUCCUGAAAGAUCGAAAGAUAACUUUCAACUUCAAUACCUCUCAAAUGAAAGACGCUUUCAUACGAUCAACUUAGGCAAAGAUGAAAUCACACUACAUGAUCCCGAAGGUAAGCGAGGUAAGGAAAUUUUAGAAACCGAGUCCAGUGCAGAUUUGAAAAUUAUUGAUAAAACUUUUGGUGACUUAGUUCUUAAAAGAUCCCCUCAUUUUGAUCCGAUUAAUUGUUACUCUUCGAUUGUGGUUGAUAAAGUCAUUACGAAAAGAAGCGUGAUUUGUUAUUCUCUUGAUUUACCUUGUGUAAAAUCCUCGAAUUUGUCCAAAUCUAUUUUGGAGAAUAAGGUAACGAAAUUUUCCAAAUUUGUUUUCAAUUUAUAUUCAUGCCUUAAACAGUUUAUGUGGUUGUACAUGAAGUUUGAGUUCCAUUUGACAAAGGUUAACUCAACAACGGAGAUUCGACUACACUAUGCCCCCGAUGAGCGAAGGUUUGUUUUAAAUGAAAAAGGUAAAAUCGACCCUUAUUCUUCUGCUUAUCGAGGUAAGAUGCUUGAAACCUUUGAAACACUUUUGUACUCCUCGGAUAGUGAUAAAGAUCGUGUUGAUGAACACUUAGAUCGAAACGUGCUUGACUGUCCUAUUUUAUUUAUUCUAUCUGUUUUGAUGGUUGAUAAAAAGAUUCUUGUUUUUGAUAAUGCAUGUGUGAGUGAAUCUAUAGACCGUCGAUUAAUGCAUGGUAUUAUUAUGCAACUCUGUGAACCAUGUGAAUCUUUUCAAAUACCUACUUGUGACGAUUAUGUUUACCAUUUGAUUUAUUACUCGCAAUUUAUUCAUGGUUUGUGGGAACAAUGUGAGACGACUGAAUGCCUUAAAACAUGUCCAUCUUUGUUUCAAAUAUUUGACGAGGCAGUGGUGAGUAAAUUAGAUUGUUUGCAUGGUAAUCUGAAUCUGUCCAUUUACAUGCGUUAUACCUGUUCUGUUAUGCUUAUGAUUGGACUACAAGCUUGUUUCCGUUGCUAUUUACUAUCUCAUGGCUAUUCUUUUCAGUGGACUCAAUUGCCAUUAGUCCCGUUCGAUAGAGGAAAGUCGAGUUCAUUUGAUUUUUCAGAUUCGAGGACGAAUCUUUUUGAGGAAGGGGGGAAUGAUACGAGUCACAAAAGCCCAAAUUCUUGAAGGCGAGGCCCAAUAAGCAAAUUCCCAGCCCAAUCAAGAAAUCCAUCCAUACUUAGUUGAAAAUCAGGCCAAAUUGUCAAAGUGGCCCAAGUUAUAAAGUAUUAUUUUUAUUUUUAUUUAUUUAUUUAUUUACUUAGUUUAAAUUUUUAUGUCAAUAUUCAGUCCAAGAGUCCCAGAUAAAAUGACCUUUGACCGAAUUUCCAUAUUAAAAUAAUUAGGAGUUUUUUUUUAUUUUAGUUUUCUAAUUAGAUUAGGACUAGUUAUAAGGCCUAUUUAAAGGCAUGGCUGUCCACCUUGUUAAACACUUAUCAUUAUUAUUAAAAUUUCAGAUUUGUUGAGAGCAGAAUUUUUCUUUGAGUUUUCUCCAAGAUUUCUCUCUUGAGUUUUCUUUAGAAGUUGUUUUAACAAUCUUGUGAUUGUGGGAGCCAUCUUCAACCUUCUUUUUGCCAUUGAUAUUCUUUGGAGGGGAGAUUAGAGCCGUUUGAAGGGAGUUGUGAGAUCUUUCGAGAUUUCAAGGCUUCUUAGGACUUAUCUUUUAAUUUCUUACUGUCAAUUCUUUCUUUAUUUCUACUUGUGCUGAAUCAUUAUCUAAUCUAUUUUCUGUUCUUAUUGUGUUUUCAGCCUUUUUCUAUCUUAAGGAAUCAGCCCAAAAAUCCCCAAUUUCUAGGGUUUUUCCAUACUCUUUUUGGGUGAAAUUAGAUUGUCGAAAUUUGGGGAAAACUAUCUUGGUGUUCAAUUGGGCAGAAUCACAAUCUCCUUGAGGGUUUCAAGAACCCUAACACUUAUUUCUAUUCUCAAUUUGAUUCUUUGUUGAUUUGGGGAUUUUAUUUCAGAUCUGGAAAUUCAAAGUUCUAAUCUUUUAAUUUUUCUGUUUCAUUUCGGAUCUGAUUGUUUAGGGUUUUCGUAGGAGUUUCCCGUGACUUGGCAACUCGAUCUUGGUCCGCGCGCAACCCCGUAUCAGACACCCUUUGUGAUACGAGCAUGCCCCGUGAACUUUAUCGAGCAAGUCUGUCAAGCCGAGCAAUGACAUGUUGGCAAGCUGAUCCAAGCUCGUUUCCAGCUCCACGAGCUCCGUCCAGCUCAAAUCCAGCUUAUUCGAGCUCAAUCCAUCUUGCCUGAGCUAAACUGAGCUCACUCCUAGCUCACUUUCAACUCACGAGCUAAACCUUAGCUCAACUUCAGCUUAGGAGUUUAGCCUCAGCUCAACUUUAGCUCACGAGCUAAAGCUUAGCUCAUUUUAGUUUAAACUCGGUUUUGUCUUUAAUGCAUUAAAUAAAAAUUUGCACAUAUUUAUUUAAGCAUUAAACUUGUCUUAUAUUAAUAUUUGUUAUUAAUAUGCCAUAGUCAUUACAUAAAUUGAUUAUGUUCACAUAGCUGAAUUAAUGCAUGACAUUAAUGUGUUCACAUCAUGCCGAAUUUAUGAGUGUCCAUGAGAUAUCUUAAUGACUUGUUUAUUUCAUGUAGGUACAUCCCUUUGGACGGUACAAUGUAUGGAUGAAGAAACAUCUCUUUUGGGCAUUCAACACUCAUGAAUGAAGAAGUAUUAAAUGCUGGUGCAUGUACGGCUAGAUGCAAGGUUUCUACAAAUUCAUGCAUGUGUCUGAUACGCCCCGGCCUCGGUGAUGAGAGUCGAGUCGUUGAUGUACCCGAUCGUGAAUUGGAGUAAUAUCAAGGUUUGUCGAAGAUAGGUUAAGAAAGAAGGGAUAAAGGCUCAAAUUUAGUUCAAAAGGGGUUAUGAAGUGUAUUGAGGAUGAUAGGUGAAUGAAAACCAAGUAUUCAAGUUGACCUAACACAAUAUAAGUGUGUUAACCCGGGACUUAUACGAAUACUUAGGAAAGGUUAAAUGUUGUAUGGAUGGAAAACGAAUAAAAUGGAACCUUGACCCACUAUCAAAGAUGAUAGGAACCUCGGUAUAACUUGAACGCCACACUUUGGAUGCAAAGUGAUAAGUUCGGAUAAGAAGAAUGGGUUGACGCCACAAGGGUUACUUGAUAAGUCAAACGAGUCUUUGGAGAACAAUGAGAGUUGUAAACAAUCUCACAAAAUGUAAAAACAUUAAUUCAAGGUUCUUCUUCCCUUACAAUGAAAUUUAACACAUAUUUAUAGGCAAAACAAAAGGGUAGCCAAAUGGGUAAAAUUGGAAGCCAAAUUCGGCCAUGGUGCUUCCUCAAUUUGUUCCUUAAAUUAUGCAUGAUGUUUGCCAAAUGCUUCCUUAAAUUCUUCCAUGAAUUAUGCAUGAUGUUGGUCAAAUGCUUCCUCAAAUUCUUCCAUGAAUUAUGCAUGAUGUUGGCCAAAUGCUUCCUCAAAUUCUUCCAUGAAUUAUGCAUGAUGUUGGUCAAAUGCUUCCUCAAAUUCUUCCAUGAAUUAUGCAUGAUGUUGGUCAAAUGCUUCCUUAAUUUGUUCCACAAAUUAUGCAUGAUGUUGUCCACCUCUUCUUUGCCGUCCAUGUACAUUGUCCUAGCAAAUUCAACAAAUUUACUUAGCUUAAAUCUCACACAUUAAUUCGGCUGAACCAUGACAUGUUUAACAUUCUGCAUUUAAACAACAGCAGCAUUAAACAACAGCAGCAAAACACAUUAAUUAACAGCAUUAAAUUCGUCCAAAGUACACAAUAUCCUGCACAUUAAAUUCGUCUGGAAAAAUUAAUUGACAACAUAAAUUAAAUUUGUCUUAAAUUUAGACACACUUAAUUAACUAUUAGACAUCUUGAUACGGGGUUGCACGCAGACCAAGAUCGAGUUGCCAAGUCACGAGAAACUCCUACGAAAACCCUAAACAAUUAGAUCUGAAACGAAACAGAAAAUUAAAAGAUUAGAUUUUUAAAUUUUCAGAUCUGAAAUAAAAUCCCCAAAUCAACAAAUAAUAAAAUUGAGAAUAGAAAUAAGUGUUAGGGUUCUUGAAACCCUCAAGGAGAUUGUGAUUCUGCCCAAUUGAACACCAAGAUAGUUUUUCCCAAAUUUCGACAAUCUAAUUUCACCCAAAAAGAGUAUGGAAAAACCUUAGAAAUUGGGGAUUUUUGGGCUGAUUCCUUAAGAUAGAAAAAGGCUGAAAACACAAUAAGAACAGAAAAUAGAUUAGAUAAUGAUUUAGCACAAGUAGAAAUAAAGAAAUAAAACGAAACAGCAAGAAAUAAAGAAAGUCCUAAAGACCCUUGAAAUCCCGAAAGAUUUCACAAAUCCCUUCAAACGGCUCUAAUCUCUCCUCCAAAGAAUAUCAAUGGCAAGAAGAAGGUUGAAUAUGGCUCCCACAAUCAAAAGAUUGUUAAAACAACUUCUAAAGAAAACUCAAGAGAGAAAUCUUGGAGAAAACUCAAAGAAAAUUCUGCUCUCAACAAAUCUAAAAUUUUAAUAAUAAUGAUAAGUGUUUAACAAGGUGGACAGCCAUGCCUUUAAAUAGGCCUUAUAACUAGUCCUAAUCUAAUUAGAAAACUAAAAUAAAAAAAACUCCUAAUUAUUUUAAUAUGGAAAUUCGGUCAAAGGUCAUUUUAUCUGGGACUCUUGGACUGAAUAUGACAUAAAAAUUUAAACUAAGUAAAUAAAUAAAUAAAUAAAUAAAAAUAAAACUUUACAACUUGGGCCACUUUGACAAUUUGGCCUGAUUUUCAACUAAGUAUGGAUGGAUUUCUUGAUUGGGCUGGGAAUUUGCUUAUUGGGCCUCGCCUUCAAG
rnacentral:lncRNA from 1 species